AGACCCGAAACCCGGUGAUCUAGCCAUGGGCAGGUUGAAGGUUGGGUAACACUAACUGGAGGACCGAACCGACUAAUGUUGAAAAAUUAGCGGAUGACCUGUGGCUGGGGGUGAAAGGCCAAUCAAACCGGGAGAUAGCUGGUUCUCCCCGAAAGCUAUUUAGGUAGCGCCUCGUGAAUUCAUCUCCGGGGGUAGAGCACUGUUUCGGCUAGGGGGCCAUCCCGGCUUACCAACCCGAUGCAAACUGCGAAUACCGGAGAAUGUUAUCACGGGAGACACACGGCGGGUGCUAACGUCCGUCGUGAAGAGGGAAACAACCCAGACCGCCAGCUAAGGUCCCAAAGUCAUGGUUAAGUGGGAAACGAUGUGGGAAGGCCCAGACAGCCAGGAUGUUGGCUUAGAAGCAGCCAUCAUUUAAAGAAAGCGUAAUAGCUCACUGGUCGAGUCGGCCUGCGCGGAAGAUGUAACGGGGCUAAACCAUGCACCGAAGCUGCGGCAGCGAACGUAUCACCCAAGACAACUUUACGGAGUUGACGAUUGACGGAGCGAAGCGACGU
rnacentral:rRNA from 2 species